UGGGGAAUUUUGCGCAAUGGGGGAAACCCUGACGCAGCAACGCCGCGUGGGUGAUGAAGGCCUUCGGGUCGUAAAGCUCUGUCUGGAGGGAAGAAAUGAUUGGGAGCUAAUACCUCUUGAUCUUGACGGUACCUCUGAAGGAAGCACCGGCUAACUCCGUGCCAGCAGCCGCGGUAAUACGGAGGGUGCAAGCGUUGUUCGGAAUUAUUGGGCGUAAAGCGCGUGUAGGCGGUCUUUUAAGUCUGAUGUGAAAGCCCCGGGCUCAACCUGGGAAGUGCAUUGGAAACUGGGAGGCUUGAGUACGGGAGAGGAGAGUGGAAUUCCUAGUGUAGGAGUGAAAUCCGUAGAUAUUAGGAGGAACACCGGUGGCGAAGGCGGCUCUCUGGACCGAUACUGACGCUGAGACGCGAAAGCGUGGGUAGCAAACA
rnacentral:rRNA from 1 species